rnacentral:rRNA from 1 species
CACGUAGUUAGCCGUGGCUUAUUCAAGAGGUACCGUCUUCUGCUCUUCCCUCUUAAAAGAAGUUUACAACCCGAAAGCCUUCUCCCUUCACGCGGCGUUGCUGGGUCAGGCUUGCGCCCAUUGCCCAAUAUUCCCCACUGCUGCCUCCCGUAGGAGUCUGGGCCGUAUCUCAGUCCCAAUGUGGCCGGCCAACCUCUCAGUCCGGCUACUGAUCGUCGCCUUGGUAGGCCGUUACCCUACCAACUAGCUAAUCAGACGCGAGGCCAUCUCUCAGCGAUAAAUCUUUGACAUAUCUACCAUGCGAUAAAUAUGUGUCAUGCGGUAUUAGCAGCCGUUUCCAGCUGUUGUCCCCCUCUGAAAGGCAGGUUCCCCACGCGUUACUCACCCGUCCGCCACUAAGUAACCUAAUCCAUUGACCGAAAUCUCUUUCAUAGGCACCCCGUUCGACUUGCAUGUGUUAAGCACGCCGCCAGCGUCGUCCUCGAGCCACGGAGUCAAACUAC